rnacentral:rRNA from 1 species
CAGUCGCCGCGGUAAUACGAAGGGGGCUAGCGUUGUUCGGAAUUACUGGGCGUAAAGCGUGCGUAGGCGGUUUGUUAAGUCUGCUGUGAAAUCCCGGGGCUCAACCUGGGAAUGGCAGUGGAUACUGGCAAGCUAGAGUGUGUCAGAGGAUGGUGGAAUUCCCGGUGUAGCGGUGAAAUGCGUAGAGAUCGGGAGGAACAUCAGUGGCGAAGGCGGCCAUCUGGGACAACACUGACGCUGAGGCACGAAAGCGUGGGGAGCAAACAGGAUUAGAUACCCCGGUAGUCCCUGUCUCUUAUAC